rnacentral:rRNA from 1 species
UACGUAGGGUGCAGGCGUUAAUCGGAAUUACUGGGCGUAAAGCGUGCGCAGGCGGUUUCUUAAGUCAGAUGUGAAAGCCCCGGGCUUAACCUGGGAACUGCGUUUGAAACUGGGAGACUAGAGUGUGGCAGAGGGGGGUGGAAUUCCACGUGUAGCAGUGAAAUGCGUAGAUAUGUGGAGGAACACCGAUGGCGAAGGCAACCCCCUGGGUUAACACUGACGCUCAUGCACGAAAGCGUGGGGAGCAAACAGG